AGUGAACGCUGGCGGUAGGCCUAACACAUGCAAGUCGAACGGCAGCACAGGAGAGCUUGCUCUCUGGGUGGCGAGUGGCGGACGGGUGAGGAAUACAUCGGAAUCUACUUUUUCGUGGGGGAUAACGUAGGGAAACUUACGCUAAUACCGCAUACGACCUACGGGUGAAAGCAGGGGACCUUCGGGCCUUGCGCGAUUGAAUGAGCCGGUGUUGGAUUAGAUAGUUGGCGGGGUAAAGGCCCACCAAGGCGACGAUCCGUAGCUGGUCUGACAGGAUGAUCAGCCCCACUGGAACUGAGACACGGUCCAGACUCCGACGGGAGGCAGGAGUGGGGAAUAUUGGACAAUGGGCGCAAGCCUGAUCCAGCCAUACCGCGUGGGUGAAAAAGGCCUUCGGGUUGUAAAGCCCUUUUGUUGGGAAAGAAAUCCAGCUGGCUAAUACCCGGUUGGGAUGACGGUACCCAAAGAAUAAGCACCGGCUAACUUCGUGCCAGCCGCCGCCGUAA
rnacentral:rRNA from 1 species